rnacentral:rRNA from 1 species
UACGUAGGGUGCAAGCGUUAAUCGGAAUUACUGGGCGUAAAGCGUGCGCAGGCGGUUUUGUAAGACAGAGGUGAAAUCCCCGGGCUCAACCUGGGAACUGCCUUUGUGACUGCAAGGCUAGAGUACGGCAGAGGGGGGUGGAAUUCCGCGUGUAGCAGUGAAAUGCGUAGAUAUGCGGAGGAACACCGAUGGCGAAGGCAACCCCCUGGGCUUGUACUGACGCUCAUGCACGAAAGCGUGGGGAGCAAACAGG